GGCGCUAUAGCCAAGUGGUUACGGCGACAGAUUAGAAUGCCGUGAUGUCUUGUUAACGUUCAUCUGUUCCUCUUUGAGGGCGCAGGUUCAAAUCCUGCUGGCGUCG